CACCACCUCUCAUUCGUCUCCGUU
rnacentral:siRNA from 1 species